UGACAGAGCCUGCGAGGUUUCAGCACCUGCUCCUCUGGGCCCUCCCCCACAACCUGCCCUCUCUCCUCCUCCCAGGGGGCAAGUUCAUGGUGAACCUUCCCUCAGGAAGCUGAGCACAGGCUGCUUGUGGAAAAGCCAACAAACAGAGGGGGGAGCCCAGGCCGCAGCCCCCUUAGGACAGCAGCGCUGAGGGUGCUCGAGGGCAGCUCCAGCCUGGGCCCUUCCAGAAGGAUCCUCCCCAUCUCCGUCUACAUCUACGCCCAGGGAGGUCAAAGGCAUCAGGAAAGGUGCAUGGGCCAAGAAGCCCCAGGACCACAGAAACUGAGAUGACGGAGGCCAGGAUUCCAGGAAGGGGACACAUGAGGACAGGCUUCCUGGUUUCCAGCGGGGAGAGGCCAUGAGGCCAUUCCCCUCAGCAGGAAUCUCCAAGUUGAGGAAAACAAUUUCGUGCCAUUCAGUUUAAAAUAGGAAAUUGGGAGGGAGAGGCAGAUACAGGGAAGAGAAAAUAAAUGAAGUCCCCCCCCCCACCCUGAAAAGAAGAAAAGGAGCGUACAUCCCCCCCCACCCAAGGAGGAAAAGGUCCGGUCCACACAGCGAAGGUUCACAGUGUCCAUCUGUGGAAGAGACCUUGUGGCUGUCCCGUGUCGCUGCACGUAAGCGCCUUAUAACCUACUGCGCUUGUCCCCCGAUGCCUGCCCCCCUUUCUGGCCUCAGU
rnacentral:lncRNA from 1 species